UCUUCCGUAGUAUAGUGGUCAGUAUGCCAGCUUGUCACGCUUGAGACCCGGGUUUAAUUCUCGGUGGGAGAG
rfam:Fusarium oxysporum f. sp. cubense tropical race 4 54006 unplaced genomic scaffold supercont1.9, whole genome shotgun sequence.